CAAAGGCUUGGUCCUGACUUUUCUCUCAGCUUUGGCUAAGUUUACACAUGCAAGUCUCCGCACCCCCGUGAGAAGGCCCUAAGCUUCCCCUACCGGGAGCAAGGAGCAGGUAUCAGGCACUGACCCUACCUAGCCCAAGACGCCUUGCCCAGCCACACCCCUAAGGGAACUCAGCAGUGAUUGACAUUAAGUAUAACCGAAAGUUUGACUUAGCAACAGCCAAGAGGGCCGGCAAAACUCGUGCCAGCAGCCGCGGUUAUACGAGAGGCUCAAGUUGACAGACAGCGGCGUAAAGGGUGGUUAGAAGAACUUCACACUAGAGCCGAACGCCUCCAGCGCUGUCUAAAGCACCCGGAGGUAAGAAGUGCCCCUACGAAAGUAGCUCUAAGAACAUUUUAACCCACGAGAGCUAGGGCACAAACUGGGAUUAGAUACCCCACUAUGCCUAGCCAUAAACAUAGAUGAUUUUUCACAAGUUUCAUCCGCCAGGGUAUUACGAGCUCCAGCUUGAAACCCAAAGGACUUGGCGGUGCUUUAGACCCACCUAGAGGAGCCUGUCCUAGAACCGAUAACCCCCGUUUAACCUCACCCCCUCUUGUUUAGUCAGUCUAUAUACCACCGUCGUCAGCUCACACUCUGAAGCAACAAAAGUGAGCGAAAUUGGUACAACCCAGAACGUCAGGUCGAGGUGUAGCCUACGAGGGGGGAAGAGAUGGGCUACAUUUGCUAACACAGCACAUUCACGCAGGACCAAUUGAAAUCACCAGUCCCCAAGGAGGAUUUAGAAGUAAGUGGGGAGUAGAGUGCCCCCCUGAAGCUGGCCCUGAAGCACGUACACACCGCCCGUCACCCUCCCCAGAAUGUUCACCUAUUGUAACUAAAGAGUAAUAACACCCUCCAGGGGAGGCAAGUCGUAACAAGGUAAGCGCACCGGAAGGUGCGCUUGGAAAAAUAUC
rnacentral:ncRNA from 2 species